UACUCGAGUGGCGAACGGGUGAGUAACACGUGGGUGAUCUGCCCUGCACUUCGGGAUAAGCCUGGGAAACUGGGUCUAAUACCGGAUAGGAGCCAUUUUUAGUGUGAUGGUUGGAAAGUUUUUUCGGUGUAGGAUGAGCUCGCGGCCUAUCAGCUUGUUGGUGGGGUAAUGGCCUACCAAGGCGGCGACGGGUAGCCGGCCUGAGAGGGUGUACGGCCACAUUGGGACUGAGAUACGGCCCAG
rnacentral:rRNA from 1 species